AGCAGCAUGGCCCAGUGGCAGGAGCCCGGGCUUGGGAGUCAGAAGUCCUGGGUUCUAAUCCCAGUUCUGCCA
rnacentral:tRNA from 1 species